rnacentral:rRNA from 1 species
AGUGAACGCUGGCGGUAGGCCUAACACAUGCAAGUCGAACGGCAGCACAGUAAGAGCUUGCUCUUACGGGUGGCGAGUGGCGGACGGGUGAGGAAUACAUCGGAAUCUACUUUUUUGUGGGGGAUAACGUAGGGAAACUUACGCUAAUACCGCAUACGACCUACGGGUGAAAGCAGGGGAUCUUCGGACCUUGCGCGAUUGAAUGAGCCGAUGUCGGAUUAGCUAGUUGGCGGGGUAAAGGCCCACCAAGGCGACGAUCCGUAGCUGGUCUGAGAGGAUGAUCAGCCACACUGCAACUGCGACACGGUCCAGACUCCUACGGGAGGCAGCAGUGGGGAAUAUUGGACAAUGGUCGCAAGCCUGAUCCAGCCAUACCGCGUGGGUGAAGAAGGCCUUCGGGUUGUAAAGCCCUUUUGUUGGGAAAGAAAAGCAGCAGGUUAAUACCCCGCUGUUCUGACGGUACCCAAAGAAUAAGCACCGGCUAACUUCGUG